CCAGAGGCUGCCCACAGCGCGGGAGCGAGCCGCUCUGUCACUGCCCUAACACCGCCAAACAAACCAGCAAACACCCCCGCCUCCUGGAUCAGGGCAGAGCAGGAAUCUCAAGCAUCUAUGUCAGGUGUGAAAUCAAAUCCUGGGAGAGCUGGGCUGGCCUGUGGCGUGACUGAGCACCCAUCACUGUGUUCCUUUGAAGGAAGAAUCUGGCAAGCAGCAUGAUGUGGGAUCAUGCCUUAAGUAUGUUCAUGAAGAAGGGGACAGAAGGGGAAGGAAAAGCCACCUCAAGCCAGCAGGAAGGGGCCGGUAACAGCAACAAAGUGAACCAGCUCUUCUGUGAAAUCCUCAUCUGAAAAACAUCAAUUGUAAAUUUGCAAUCUCAUUUUUCCACAUUUGCAUGUGAAUAAAUCUGAUUCUUAAAUGCUCUGCAGAAAAUGAAUGAGGCAUUUGUCUAA